AGCGUUCGGUCGUUCUGUCAUUUCGGUCUUUCUAUCUUUUGUUCGAUCGUUCUAUCGUUUCAGUCUUUCUAUCUGUCGUUCGGUCAUUCUAUCGUUCGGUCGUUCUAACUAUCGUUUUUUGUCUUUUUUUAUUUUUUGUUCGGUCAUUCUAUCAUUAGGUCAUUCUAACUGUCAUUCUAGCGUUCGGUCAUUCUGUCGUUUCGGUCUUUCUAUCUGUCGUUCGGUCAUUCUAUCGUUUGGUUGUUCUAUUGUUUUAGUCUUUCCAUCUGUUGUUCUAUCGGUCGUUCUAUCGUUUCAGUCUUUCUAUCUGUCAUUCGGUCAUUCUGUCUUUUAAAAUAACUUGUUGGAUAUUCACAUCUGUGAGUGACUGAUUUGGCGAGUGAUUUUAGACUAUUUAAUUAGUUGAAAUGUGUAUGAGAGAAUGACUAUAUAACCUGAAGUAAAUGAAUGAAAGUCAGGCCUUUGCAAGUAAAAUUAUAUGACAAGUCAUUUUAGUUUGUCUGGGGCAAUGCAAAGACCCACAGAUCAACAGAGAUGGUUUUGAGAAUUUAUGUUGUGCAUUUACUGUUUUAUGCACAGAAAGUGUAAAGGAAAGAUUUUGUUUUUUAAUGUCCAAUUCUAUUUUUAUUGUAAUAAAGUUGUUGAGCCAAUACUUCA
ensembl:lncRNA